rnacentral:rRNA from 1 species
UACGGAGGGGCUAGCGUUGUUCGGAAUUACUGGGCGUAAAGCGCGCGUAGGCGGACCUGCAAGUCGGGGGUGAAAGCCCGAGGCUCAACCUCGGAACUGCCUUCGAUACUGCGGGUCUCGAGUCCGGGAGAGGUGAGUGGAAUUCCUAGUGUAGAGGUGAAAUUCGUAGAUAUUAGGAAGAACACCAGUGGCGAAGGCGGCUCACUGGCCCGGUACUGACGCUGAGGCGCGAAAGCGUGGGGAGCAAACAGGGAUUAAGAAACC